rnacentral:lncRNA from 1 species
CGGGUAUUACAUUCUUCCCCCCUUUAAGAACAUUCGUCCUCGAAUGUUCAAACAACCAAACAUGCAUCAAGCAUACAUCAACAAGCAAGCAAAACCUAAAAACCUCUCUUCUAAAAGAGAGACACGGUUAUUGCUGGAGUACAAACUCCUGGUCUCCCUGGUGCACUUUCCAUCUUAAGGCGAUUCUAAGGGGCUUUCACCAUUGGUAUUUCCUUGUUUCCACACUUUCUGACUUGUGCGUCUGCAGUCCGUACUAGCUGCUCAACAUAGGUGAGAUCCUCUACGGUCUCCACCUCUGGUUCCUUUAAGAACCUCACUCGGACCCGACACGAACUCAUAUAUCGUGGAAACGUGGAAAAACGAAUGGAUCUCUUCCAUUGAAGUGGGUAAAUCUAACUCGUGGGAUACAUUCCCAAAUCCUUUGCAGGAUUUCAAGGAGUCCAAUGCAUCUGCGAGCUAAUUUAUCUUUCUGCCCACAACGAAUCACCCUCUCUUUAGGAGACACCUCCAGCAACCCUCAACUUCCUCGAGAACUUCAACACGCUUCCGCUGCGCACUUUGACAAAACUCUUCU